UUAAAAAAAUAAAAGUUUUUAAAACUUUGAAUUAUCAAGUUAACGUCGGUUAGUGUCCUAUCAAAGGCGCACUGCCCAAACUUCAAGUUUAAAGGCCAUAAAAGCUACACAUGUCCUCCAAAAAAUAAAAUUUAAAAAGCCAUAAGAUAAAGUCAGAAAUAGAAAAGGGGGAAAAAGUCUGGCUUUUGGGACUCUGCGCGAAGAAGAAGAAGAAGAUUAGGAGGACUGGAUGAGAGGAUGAACGGAAAAAUAGAGUCACUACCAGAACAUCACGUUGACAAAUCCGAUAUAUUUCCCGGUAUGACCGGUACAAUCCGGUAUGCCCUGGUAUUUGG